AUACGGAGGAUUCAAGCGUUAUCCGGAUUUAUUGGGUUUAAAGGGUGCGUAGGCGGUUUGAUAAGUUAGAGGUGAAAUAUCGGGGCUUAACUCCGAAACUGCCUCUAAUACUGUUAGACUAGAGAAUAGUUGCGGUAGGCGGAAUGUAUGGUGUAGCGGUGAAAUGCUUAGAGAUCAUACAGAACACCGAUUGCGUUUAAGGCAGCUUACCAAACUAUAUCUGACGUUGAGGCACGAAAGCGUGGGUAGC
rnacentral:rRNA from 1 species